rnacentral:misc_RNA from 1 species
AGUUUUGGGGUUAGUGUUUGGCCCCGGAUCCAAUUGAUAGUCCAACACUUCUUCAAUCAUCUCCCUUGAUUUUCCUCCAGUUUCCUCUGCUUGAUCCGAGGAAUCCCCUCCAAUCUCAGCUGUCUUCAUCACCUUUCUACUGAAUCCUUAAUUCACAAUAGCAAGUGUAAGAACCAGAAAAGGAAUCAAGCAGCACUAAAAGAAAGGAAAAGAAAUUCUAGCAAAAGCAAAAAAGCCAAGAACUUUGCAGUAUACCAUGAGAAACGAAGAGGGCCAGAAGAACGAAAACGAGAAGAACCCUGAGAAAACAAGAUCGAUCCAUUAUUUCUUGCACAGGGCUCAGAUUUUAUGGACAGCUUUUGGGUUUUUGGGAACCUGCCUGACCUACUACAGAUCCAAGGAAGGGACUUUUUAAUACCUAAACACCCUGCUUUGCAUUUAUAGUAAUGUAGAGUAGAAUUAGGCAGCUGACUUAAGAGAGCGCCAAUCUUUCUAUGUAAUAGAUAUAAGCAUAAAGCUUACAGCCAUGAGAGAUUUUAUUUAUAUUCAAAGCCAGCGAAUGUGAUGACAUGAAAGGUUUGGAAAC